rnacentral:rRNA from 1 species
CGAACCAAUAAGAAGCUUGCUUUUUGUUGGUUAGCGGCGGACGGGUGAGUAACACGUGGGUAACCUGCCUGUAAGACCGGGAUAACUCCGGGAAACCGGUGCUAAUACCGGAUAGAUUAUCUUUCCACCUGGAGAGAUAAGGAAAGAUGGCUUUUGCCAUCACUUACAGAUGGGCCCGCGGCGCAUUAGCUAGUUGGUGAGGUAACGGCUCACCAAGGCGACGAUGCGUAGCCGACCUGAGAGGGUGAUCGGCCACACUGGGACUGAGACACGGCCCAGACUCCUACGGGAGGCAGCAGUAGGGAAUCUUCCGCAAUGGACGAAAGUCUGACGGAGCAACGCCGCGUGAGCGAAGAAGGUCUUCGGAUCGUAAAGCUCUGUUGUUAGGGAAGAACAAGUAUCGGAGGAAAUGCCGGUACCUUGACGGUACCUGACGAGAAAGCCACGGCUAACUACGUGCCAGCAGCCGCGGUAAUACGUAGGUGGCAAGCGUUGUCCGGAUUUAUUGGGCGUAAAGCGCGCGCAGGCGGUCCUUUAAGUCUGAUGUGAAAUCUUGCGGCUCAACCGCAAGCGGUCAUUGGAAACUGGGGGACUUGAGUGCAGAAGAGGAAAGCGGAAUUCCACGUGUAGUGGGUGAAACGCCGUAGAGAU